rnacentral:rRNA from 1 species
UACGAGGGAUCCUAGCGUUGUUCGGAAUCAUUGGGCGUAAAGAGUAUGUAGGCGGCCUUGUAAGUCAGUUGUGAAAGCCCCGGGCUCAACCCGGGAAGUGCAAUUGAUACUGCUUGGCUUGAAUGUGGAAGAGGGCAGUGAGAAUUGCCAGGUGUAGUGGUGAAAUGACGUAGAGAUCAUGAGGAAGACCAGUGGCGAAGGCGGGUCGCUGGACAGUUCCUGACGCUGAGGCGCGAAGGCCAGGGGAGCAAACGGG